AGACCCGAAACCCGGUGAUCUAGCCAUGGGCAGGUUGAAGGUUGGGUAACACUAACUGGAGGACCGAACCGACUAAUGUUGAAAAAUUAGCGGAUGACCUGUGGCUGGGGGUGAAAGGCCAAUCAAACCGGGAGAUAGCUGGUUCUCCCCGAAAGCUAUUUAGGUAGCGCCUCGUGAAUUCAUCUCCGGGGGUAGAGCACUGUUUCGGCUAGGGGGCCAUCCCGGCUUACCAACCCGAUGCAAACUGCGAAUACCGGAGAAUGUUAUCACGGGAGACACACGGCGGGUGCUAACGUCCGUCGUGAAGAGGGAAACAACCCAGACCGCCAGCUAAGGUCCCAAAGUCAUGGUUAAGUGGGAAACGAUGUGGGAAGGCCCAGACAGCCAGGAUGUUGGCUUAGAAGCAGCCAUCAUUUAAAGAAAGCGUAAUAGCUCACUGGUCGAGUCGGCCUGCGCGGAAGAUGUAACGGGGCUAAACCAUGCACCGAAGCUGCGGCAGCGACGCUGAUGCGUUGUUGGGUAGGGGAGCGUUCUGUAAGCCUGUGAAGGUGGCCUGUGAGGGUUGCUGGAGGUAUCAGAAGUGCGAAUGCUGACAUAAGUAACGAUAAAGCGGGUGAAAAGCCCGCUCGCCGGAAGACCAAGGGUUCCUGUCCAACGUUAAUCGGGGCAGGGUGAGUCGACCCCUAAGGCGAGGCCGAAAGGCGUAGUCGAUGGGAAACGGGUUAAUAUUCCCGUACUUGGUGUUACUGCGAAGGGGGGACGGAGAAGGCUAUGUUGGCCGGGCGACGGUUGUCCCGGUU
rnacentral:rRNA from 1 species